GGGAGCGUAGCUCAGCUGGUUAGAGCACACGACUGAUAAUCGUGAGGUCGAUGGUUCGAGUCCAUUCGUUCCCACCA
rnacentral:tRNA from 1 species